GAGAACAGAGUCUCCUCUUCCCAUACUUGGUGCAGACCUAGCCUGCCUGGACUCCGUAGAAAGCACUGGAUCUUGUGACAUGUGUAUUCAAAACAGGCAUUUGAAAGUGACUUUGCCAAAAUUGUCAUAACUGAACUUUUGCUCUGUGGACUUUCUGAUUUUGUUUUUAAUUUUUACCUCUAUCUACCAGUCUUAGUUGAGAAAGAAAGGAGACAUAAUUAUAAUAAGUUUUUGUUUCAAAUUCUAGGUUUAAGAAGUGCAGAUUCCCUGAUUACAGUCAGGUGGACUCGUAUAUAUUUAUAGUCUCUCCGCAGCCAGCCUGGGACAGACCGACUGACAUUUGAGGGCUGGCCGUCUUUCACCAUGCUAAAGGGAUUUUAACAAUACAUCCCAUUUCUAUUUAUCCAUAUCGCUCUCAUGGUUCAUUGCCAAAACGAAAGCAUUUUAUGUAUUGAGUUGAGGUUGGGAUGGGGUGGCUCUUUCUGUGGCGUCGCAUGGGAGGGAAGACUUUGUAUAACACUCGGUCGUCAACACAUCCUCCCCCAAUCUCCAGCAAUAUACAGAAAUUUCAGUAGACUAAACUCAGCCCGGUUUUAAAUGUGAGCAUGCGCUUUGCCAUCCAAUGUGGGUUUUGCUUUGGCUUAGGUUUUGGUUUUUGAUUUUUAAGACAGGGUUUCUCUGUGUAGCCCUGGCUGUCCUGGAACUCACUCUGUAGACCAGGCUGGCCUCGAACUCAAGAGAUCCACCUGCCUCUGCCCCCUGAGUGCAGCCUCCAUACCCAGCUGGUUUUAUUUUUUAAUGAUAACUUGGUUGGUUUUGGGGGGCUUUCCAAACCUGGUCACUCAUGUAAGCGAUGAAACGAGCCAGUGGCACCUGUGGCUGGCGUGCGAUGGGCUCAGUGACUUUUCUUUCUGCACUCUGCCUCAUCCUCCACCUACCAGACUGGAAACUGACUUUUAAUCCUCUAAUAAAAACAAUGAGCCCUCCAAGUCCUUCUUUGAUAUCUUCUGUUUGUUAUAAGUCAGAAAGAAGUAGUUCUCCCCCGAGACUCAGACUCUGUCUGGGCCAGAAGCCAUUCAUCGGGGUUGCAAUGGCAAGCAGCCUCCCUCCUUUUCCCCACAUACAGGCUUGGUUUUCAGGAGAUGGGUUUCUCUAAGGAAGUCUGUCUCUCUGCUGUAAAAUGCCUUUUGAAACCGUCCCUCUUUUUCAUACUUCCCAUAGGGCAUUUGUAGAAUUAGUGACCUACUGCAUGUCUGUCCCCAGGACGGGGAAAGACAGGCAGCUCCUCAGCCUCCUCCCACCCCUCAGCCUGAAAACUCAGGUGCAACCAAGUGUUCGGCUCUGUGCGCCUCGCUUCAGAGCAUCCCGCUUGAGAGGAGCCACCUUCUAGUAAGAGUGGGCAGACACGGGUACGUGCGUCAAACAUACAUCUCAAUAUUUCUCAAGCAGCAAACGGGGGUCGCAGUCUUGGCUCUUAGGAAACUACUUAACUUCCACAGACGUUCUUAAGAUGUGUCGACAGUAUUGCGUCACCCGCUGCUGUCCCGGGCUUGAACAGACGGUGUUUGGUUUGCCUGCAUAGGCAAAGCUGGGUCUUGGUGACUGGACUUGUGCAUGUGCCCACUGUUUCGUCCCGUCCACGGCCAGGGAUCUGGGCAGGGCAGUCACACCCAUAGCCCGGCACCUACGAGGUUGUACUUAACACAAUCAGAUGGGGUUCACGGCAAUAUAACAGUUAAUGAACUUGGAGUUUAAAUUGUGUACAUUUUUAAAUUGUAAGAUUUUUACUGUAUAUUGAAGCUUAGUGUGAUUCAAUAAAUUGCUUGUAAUUUAAAAACUAUUUAAUAUUCAAAAUAAAUAUAGUUAUAUAUUUAUAAUAA
rnacentral:lncRNA from 1 species